rnacentral:rRNA from 1 species
CGAACGGCAGCACGGACUUCGGUCUGGUGGCGAGUGGCGAACGGGUGAGUAAUAUAUCGGAACAUACCCAGUAGUGGGGGAUAACUAUCCGAAAGGAUAGCUAAUACCGCAUACGAUCUGUGGAUGAAAGCAGGGGAUCUUCGGACCUUGUGCUAUUGGAAUGGCCGAUAUCUGAUUAGCUAGUUGGUAGGGUAAAAGCCUACCAAGGCGACGAUCAGUAGCUGGUCUGAGAGGACGACCAGCCACACUGGAACUGAGACACGGUCCAGACUCCUACGGGAGGCAGCAGUGGGGAAUUUUGGACAAUGGGGGCAACCCUGAUCCAGCAAUGCCGCGUGAGUGAAGAAGGCCCUCGGGUUGUAAAGCUCUUUUGUCAGGGAAGAAACGGAGUUCUCUAAUAUAGGAUUCUAAUGACGGUACCUGAAGAAUAAGCACCGGCUAACUACGUGCCAGCAGCCGCGGUAAUACGUAGGGUGCAAGCGUUAAUCGGAAUUACUGGGCGUAAAGCGUGCGCAGGCGGUUUUGUAAGUCUGAUGUGAAAUCCCCGGGCUCAACCUGGGAACUGCAUUGGAGACUGCAAGGCUAGAGUGUGUCAGAGGGGGGUAGAAUUCCACGUGUAGCAGUGAAAUGCGUAGAGAUGUGGAGGAAUACCGAUGGCGAAGGCAGCCCCCUGGGAUAACACUGACGCUCAUGCACGAAAGCGUGGGGAGCAAACAGGAUUAGAUACCCUGGUAGUCCACGCCCUAAACGAUGUCUACUAGUUGUCGGGACUUAA